ACCCUAAGUUAGGCGAGAUCAUUUACUGAGUUUAAGUAUAUCAAUAAGUGAAGGAAAAGAAACUUACCAAGAUUCCCUUAGAAAUAAUGAGCAAACUAAAAAGAGCCUAGCUUAAGAAUCGAGUGCCCCCGAUGUCUAAAUUAUAAUUUGAAGAAGUGUCCUCAGUGGUGGACAAAGCCCAAGUCCCCUGGGAAAGGGCACCAAAGAGGGUGUGAGCCUCAUUGUGCAUAGACCUUGUCAUACCAUGAGUUACUAUCUGCAAGUCAGGUUGUUUAGGAAUGCAGCCUUAAUCGGGCUAUAAAUUUCAUCUAAGGCUAAAUACGAGUGGGAGACCGAUAGCGAACAAGUACCACAAGGGAAAGUUGAAAAAGACAUUGAAAAAAGAGUUAAAUAUUGCUUGAAAUUGUCAGGAUGGAAGUGGAUGCGGGCUGACGAUGCACCCAGUUGGAUGUGGAAUGACAAUAGGUGGUUUGCCAAUCGGCUUAGGGCAAGGACCGAUACGGGUCAUGAUGGUGGCCCAAGCUUGGGCUUUCUACAUGUCGCAAAGACAUCGUCACCGGGAUCAUGGAACAUAGCAUGCAUCAUCUUAGCAUGCCAAAGCACCGGCAUGCUUUCGACAUCGACUUACGGGCUCCUUAUCUGGCUUAUCUUGAAACAUGAACCAAGGAGUCUAACAUGUGUGCGAGUCAAUGGGCUAGAAAACCCGUAAGGCACAAAAUAAGCUAAUUGGUGGGAUCUUUCGCAAGUGCACCAUCGACUGACCUUGAUCUUUUGAGAAGCGCUUGAGUGUGAGCAUUCUUGUAAAGACCUGAAAGAUGGUGAACUAUGCCUGAGUAGGGCAAAGCCAAAGGAAACUCUGAUGGAGGCCCAUAGAGAUACUGGCAUGCAAAUCAUUCAUCUGACUUGGAUAUAGGGGUGGAAGACUAAUUGAACCAUCUAGUAGUUGGUUCCCUCCAAAGUUUCCCUCAGGAUAGUUGGAGCCCUUAGCAAGUUCUAUCAGGUAAAGCUAAUGAUUAGAGGCAUUAGGGGCAUAAUGCCGUCGACCUCUUCUCAAACUUUAAAUAGGUAAGAUGGCACAAUUGCUUCGUUGAGCCAUGCCAAGGAAUCGAGAGCUCCAAGUGGGCAUUUUUGGUAAGCAAACUAGUGAUACAGAUGAACCAGAAGUUGGGUUAUAAUGCCUAAGUGCAUGUUAACAUAGAACCCACAAUGGGUGUUGGUCGAUUAAGAUAAUAGGAUGGUGGUCAUGGAAUUCAAAAUCCACUAAGGAGUGUGUAACAACUCACUUGCCAAAUCAACUAGCCCUAAAAAUGUAUGGCAUUUAAAUGUGUGACUUAUACCUGACCAUCGGGGUAAGGGCCAAGCCUCGAUGAGUAGGAGGGUACGACAGUCAUCUCAAAACCUAAGGCAUGAACUUGAACAGAGCGGCCAUCAGUGUAGAUCUUGGUGGUAGUAGCAAAUAUUCAAAUGAGAACUUUGAAGGCCAAAGAGAGGAAAUGUUCCAUGUGAAUGACACUUGCCUAUAGGUUAGUCGAUCCUAAGAGAUGGAGGAAGCCUAUCCGACAGUGCUUCCAACAUGAGCUUCGAAAGAGAAUCGACUUAAAAUUUUUUAACUGAGAUGCGACAACUGAUGGCAAUGUUAAGGAGUCCAAAGAUGUCGGUAAGGGCCUCGAGAAGAGUUAUUUUUUCUAUUUAAUGGCCUGCCCACCUUGGAAACAGCUCAGCCAGAGGUAGGGUCCACUAGUUGGAAGAGCACUGCACAUUACAUGGUGCCCGAUACGCCUUUAAUAGCCCUUAAAAAUUUAGAGGAUCGAGUGCCGUCUGCAUUCGAUCGUAUUCAUAACUACAUUAGGUCUCCAAGGUGAAUAGCCUCUAGUCGAUGGAAUAAUGUAGGCAAGGGAAGUUGGCAAAAUGGAUCCAUAACCUUGGGAAAAAGAUUGGCUCUGAGGGUUAGGCAUAGGUGUCCUAGUCCUGAACCCAUUGACUAUCGAUGCAGUGCUUGAGCUUCUCUCAUGGUAAGAGAAGGUCAUCGCAUGCUGGUCAGAGGACGGACUAGGAAUGGCUCCCUUUGGUGAUGAACAGUUGACUCAAAACUAGUAUGGACAGGGGGAAUCUGACUGUUUAAUUAAAGCAAAGCAUUGCAAUUGUCCCUGCGGAUGCUCACUCAAUGUGACUUUUACCUAGUGCUCUGAAUGUCAAAGUGAAGAAAUUCAACCAAGCAUGGGUAAAUGGUGAGAGCAACUAUGACUCUCUUAAGGUAGCCAAAUGCCUUGUCAUCUAAUUAGUGACAUGUAUGAAUGGAUUAAUGAGAUUCCCAUUGUCCGUGUCUACUAUCUAGUGAAACCAUAACCAAGUAAACAGGCUUGGUAGAAUCAAUGCGAAAAGAAGACCCUGUUGAGCUUGACUCUAAUUUGACUUUAUGAAUUAACUUGAGAGGUUUAGGAUAAGUGGGAACCCUCAGGCAAAAUUGAAAUACCAUUACUUUUAACAUUAUUUUGCUUAUUCCGUGAAUCAGAGGCAAGGCACAAUCCCUUUUUUUAGACCUAAGGUCGACCUUAGUCGAUCGAUCUGGGCAAAAAACACUGUUGGUGGGGAGUUUGGUAGGGGUGGCACAUUUGUUAAAAGAUAAUACAGAUGUCUUAAGAUGAGCUCAACGACAACAGAAAUCUCAUGUGGAACAAAAAGGUAAAGGCUUGAUUGAUUCUGAUUUCUGGUAUGAAUACAAACAAUGAAAGCAUGGCCUAUCGAUCCUUUAAACCUUCAAAAUUUAAAGCUAAAGGUGUCAGAAAAGCUACCACAAGGAUAACUGACUUGUGGCAGCAAAGCAUUCAUAGCGACGUUGCUUUUUGAUCCUUCGAUGUAGGCUCUUCCUAUCAUUGUGAAGUAAAAUUCACCAAGUGUUAGAUUGUUCACCCACCAAUAAAAAACAUGAGCUAGGUUUAGACCGUUAUGAGACAAGUUAGUUUUACCCAAUUGAUUGUAGCAUCGUAAUAGUAAUUCAACCUAGUACGAGAAGAACUAUUGAUUCACAUAAUUGGUCAUCACGUUUGGUUGAAAAGUUAGUGGCCUGAUGUUACUGUGCACUAGAUUAUGACUGAAUGCCUCUAAAUCAGAAUCUAGGCUAGAAGCAAUGCACACGCCUGUCGCCCGAUUGCCGACCCACAAUAGGGGCCCAUGGCCCCCAAAAGCACACGUCAUAGGUGUAGCCCCCAUGGCGGAUAAGCCACAAGGGCCUCCUUGA
rnacentral:rRNA from 1 species